GCGGAUUUAGCUCAGUUAGGAGAGCUUCAGACUGAAGUCCACUUCAAUCCAAUAAUCAAAUCUGGUCAUGUGUUCGAUCCACAUAAACCGCA